CAUCUCACAGAAAGCCAGAGGGGAGGACGUGGGGCUAUCAGUCCAACUCCUCAGUUAAUAGCCAGGGAAACAGAAGCCCAGGGAGAUAAAGACGGUGGCAGAGGAGGAAUUCUUUCUUAGCAGAUCUUCCAUUCCUAAUCCAGGAUCAUUUCCAGGGCUCCCAGGAGAAAUCUUUUGCCACAUUUGGAGAAAGGAUUGAAGAGAAAUGAGAGCCUGGAUGUGAAGAAAACAUUAGGAAGCUGCAGCAGUAACCUAUGUGAGAAAUUAAGAGAACCUAAAUCAGAUCCGUUGGCCAUCAAGAUUUCACUCAUUUUGAGACCUAGAGAUUGGUGCUCCUGGAGCUGUGAAAUGCGUGGCCUCUGUAGCCCUGUGAAGGUCUUGUUUCUAUGGCGAUACAAGAGAAAGUCUUUGCAGAGUUGUUGCAGCUGGAAGUCUUCACUUACUUUAAGAGCUCAUUAAAGCUAGUGGAGCCUUCCAAACCUGAAAUGAACUGCUCCUUACAGAACUGCCAAAAGGAAGAAAUAGAAAAGAAAAAAGAAGCAAUAGGUCCAAAAAGUCAAGAGAAGCUAUGCUGUACCCUCAACACUCUGCCUAGAGAUUUCUUCCAUGAAAUAUCCUAGUUCACAUCUGCCUCCUGCAAACUACUAGGACAUGGACACUGCUCAGCCAAGUUCUGUGCCAAUUUGUAACAAGAAUGGCCUUUCCUCCUAUUUCCAAUAAGGCCCCAUCAGCAGAGGGAGGAGAAGAGGAGAAGCAGCUGGACAUCAGAGACUAUGGUUGGACAUUGGAGAGAAGCAGCUUGACUUCAAAGGGACGGCUUGAUGGCAUUGCUUCGGAGAGGAGUUCAGCCAGGGACAGCUGGACUCUAGGGGAAUAUUAUCUUCCCACACCAUCCACUUUUCAGCUCCCCUUCCCACUGAGAACCACUUUCAUUGGCAAUAAAAUCCCCCACAUUUA
rnacentral:lncRNA from 1 species